rnacentral:tRNA from 9 species
GGGUUUGUAGCUCAGGUGGUUAGAGCGCACGCCUGAUAAGCGUGAGGUCGGAAGUUCAACUCUUCCCAGGCCCACCC